UGAACGCUGGCGGCAGGCCUAACACAUGCAAGUCGAGCGGAUGAAGGGAGCUUGCUCCUGGAUUCAGCGGCGGACGGGUGAGUAAUGCCUAGGAAUCUGCCUGGUAGUGGGGGAUAACGUCCGGAAACGGGCGCUAAUACCGCAUACGUCCUGAGGGAGAAAGUGGGGGAUCUUCGGACCUCACGCUAUCAGAUGAGCCUAGGUCGGAUUAGCUAGUUGGUGGGGUAAAGGCCUACCAAGGCGACGAUCCGUAACUGGUCUGAGAGGAUGAUCAGUCACACUGGAACUGAGACACGGUCCAGACUCCUACGGGAGGCAGCAGUGGGGAAUAUUGGACAAUGGGCGAAAGCCUGAUCCAGCCAUGCCGCGUGUGUGAAGAAGGUCUUCGGAUUGUAAAGCACUUUAAGUUGGGAGGAAGGGCAGUAAGUUAAUACCUUGCUGUUUUGACGUUACCAACAGAAUAAGCACCGGCUUACUUCGUG
rnacentral:rRNA from 1 species